rnacentral:misc_RNA from 1 species
AGAACUCAGAAUACUAUUGUUUAAGUUAGCCAUGUUAGUUUCUGCAUCAUCUAAAAUGUUAUUUUUUCCCUUUUGGUCCUCUAAAUUAGAAGAGUUGUCAUGUGAAACUUCUGAUGGCAAAGAUAUUGAAGCAUUAAAUGCAUCAUGGUGGACUUCUUCCACAACAGAAUGUGUCUCGUUGUGAACAGCCGAUGCUGUAGAGUCUGAAUGGUUGCCACUGUGAGUAG